rnacentral:rRNA from 1 species
UACGUAGGAGGCAAGCGUUGUCCGGAAUUACUGGGCGUAAAGCGCGUGUAGGUGGUGGGACAAGUCUGCUGUGAAAGCGCCUGGCUUAACCGGGCGAGGUCGGCGGAAACUGUCCGACUCGAGGACGGUAGAGGGGGGUGGAAUUCCCGGUGUAGUGGUGAAAUGCGUAGAGAUCGGGAGGAACACCUGUGGCGAAGGCGGCCCCCUGGGCCGGUACUGACACUGAGACGCGAAGGCGUGGGGAGCGAACGGG